rnacentral:rRNA from 1 species
AGUGAACGCUGGCGGCAUGCCUAACACAUGCAAGUCGAACGGCAGCACAGUAAGAGCUUGCUCUUACGGGUGGCGAGUGGCGGACGGGUGAGGAAUACAUCGGAAUCUACUUUUUCGUGGGGGAUAACGUAGGGAAACUUACGCUAAUACCGCAUACGACCUACGGGUGAAAGCAGGGGAUCUUCGGACCUUGCGCGAUUGAAUGAGCCGAUGUCGGAUUAGCUAGUUGGCGGGGUAAAGGCCCACCAAGGCGACGAUCCGUAGCUGGUAUGAGAGGAUGAUCAGCCACACUGGAACUGAGACACGGUCCAGACUCCUACGGGAGGAAGCAGUGGGGAAUAUUGGACAAUGGGCGCAAGCCUGAUCCAGCCAUACCGCGUGGGUGAAGAAGGCCUUCGGGUUGUAAAGCCCUUUUGUUGGGAAAGAAAAGCAGCAGGUUAAUACGCCGCUGUUCUGACGGUACCCAAAGAAUAAGCACCGGCUAACUUCGUG